AUUGAACGCUGGCGGCAGGCUUAACACAUGCAAGUCGAGCGGGGUGAUGGUGCUUGCACUAUCACUUAGCGGCGGACGGGUGAGUAAUGCUUAGGAAUCUGCCUAUUAGUGGGGGACAACAUCUCGAAAGGGAUGCUAAUACCGCAUACGUCCUACGGGAGAAAGCAGGGGAUCACUUGUGACCUUGCGCUAAUAGAUGAGCCUAAGUCGGAUUAGCUAGCUGGUGGGGUAAAGGCCUACCAAGGCGACGAUCUGUAGCGGGUCUGAGAGGAUGAUCCGCCACACUGGGACUGAGAAACGGCCCAGACUCCUACGGGAGGCAGCAGUGGGGAAUAUUGGACAAUGGGGGGAACCCUGAUCCAGCCAUGCCGCGUGCGUGAAGAAGGCCUUAUGGUUGUAAAGCACUUUAAGCGAGGAGGAGGCUCUUUUGGUUAAUACCCAAGAUGAGUGGACGUUACUCGCAGAAUAAGCACCGGCUAACUCUGUGCCAGCAGCCGCCGUAA
rnacentral:rRNA from 1 species